rnacentral:rRNA from 1 species
CAGCCGCCGCGGUAAUACGUAGGUGGCGAGCGUUGUCCGGAUUUAUUGGGCGUAAGGGGAGUGUAGGCGGUCUUUUAAGUCUGAUGUGAAAGCCCACGGCUCAACCGUGGAGGGUCAUUGGAAACUGGGAGACUUGAGUGCAGAAGAGGAGAGCGGAAUUCCAUGUGUAGCGGUGAAAUGCGUAGAUAUAUGGAGGAACACCAGUGGCGAAGGCGGCUCUCUGGUCUGUAACUGACGCUGAGGCUCGAAAGCGUGGGGAGCAAACAGGAUUAGAUACCCCUGUAGUCCCUGUCUCUUAUAA